UGGGGAAUAUUGGACAAUGGGCGCAAGCCUGAUCCAGCAAUGCCGCGUGUGUGAAGAAGGCCUUAGGGUUGUAAAGCACUUUCAGUGGGGAGGAAGGAGUGUGUGCUAAUACCACAUGCUAUUGACGUUACCCACAGAAGAAGCACCGGCUAACUCUGUGCCAGCAGCCGCGGUAAUACAGAGGGUGCGAGCGUUAAUCGGAAUUACUGGGCGUAAAGGGUGUGUAGGUGGUUAUAUAAGUUAGAUGUGAAAUCCCCGGGCUCAACCUGGGAACUGCGUUUAAGACUGUAUAACUAGAGUACUGUAGAGGAUAGUGGAAUUUCCAGUGUAGCGGUGAAAUGCGUAGAUAUUGGAAGGAACACCAGUGGCGAAGGCGACUAUCUGGACAGAUACUGACACUGAGACACGAAAGCGUGGGGAGCAAACAGGAUUAGAUACCCCCGUAGUCC
rnacentral:rRNA from 1 species